GUACAAGCAGUGGGAGCACAGGUUUACCUGUGUGACUGCGUACCUUUUGUAUAAUGGGUCAGCGACUUAUAUUCUGUAGCAAGGUUAACCGUAUAGGGGAGCCGGAGGGAAACCGAGUCUUAAUUGGGCGUUAAGUUGCAGGGUAUAGACCCGAAACCCGGUGAUCUAGCCAUGGGCAGGUUGAAGGUUGGGUAACACUAACUGGAGGACCGAACCGACUAAUGUUGAAAAAUUAGCGGAUGACCUGUGGCUGGGGGUGAAAGGCCAAUCAAACCGGGAGAUAGCUGGUUCUCCCCGAAAGCUAUUUAGGUAGCGCCUCGUGAAUUCAUCUCCGGGGGUAGAGCACUGUUUCGGCUAGGGGGCCAUCCCGGCUUACCAACCCGAUGCAAACUGCGAAUACCGGAGAAUGUUAUCACGGGAGACACACGGCGGGUGCUAACGUCCGUCGUGAAGAGGGAAACAACCCAGACCGCCAGCUAAGGUCCCAAAGUCAUGGUUAAGUGGGAAACGAUGUGGGAAGGCCCAGACAGCCAGGAUGUUGGCUUAGAAGCAGCCAUCAUUUAAAGAAAGCGUAAUAGCUCACUGGUCGAGUCGGCCUGCGCGGAAGAUGUAACGGGGCUAAACCAUGCACCGAAGCUGCGGCAGCGA
rnacentral:rRNA from 1 species